rnacentral:rRNA from 1 species
CCCUUAGAUGUUCUGGGCCGCACGCGCGCUACGCUGAUGCAUUCAACGAGCACCCGCUGGGCCGAGAGGUCCGGCUAAUCUUUGAACGUGCAUCGUGCUGGGGAUAGAUGAUUGCAAUUAUUCAUCUUCAACGAGGAAUUCCUAGUAAACGCAAGUCAUCAGCUUGCAUUGAUUACGUCCCUGCCCUUUGUACACACCGCCCGUCGCACCUACCGAUUGAAUGGUCCGGUGAAAUUCUCGGACGCGGACUUGCGAUGUUAAUUCGGAGCUUGACUGUGAAAGUUAAUUAAACCUUACCAUUUAGAGGAAGGUGAAGUCGUAACA